AGUAUUAUGUCUGAUAAAAAGAGGUAAAUUGUAAAUUUAUAAAUAAAGGUAAAAUCUUUUAAUACUA
rnacentral:tRNA from 1 species